CCUUAGUUAGUAUAUAAGUACAUUUGAUUUCCAUUCAAAAGGUCAAGAUAUAAUUUUUAAUU
rnacentral:tRNA from 1 species